rnacentral:misc_RNA from 1 species
CCGAGUUUUAAUAACAACUCCCAAACCCCUGUGAACAUACCUGUUUUGUUGCUUCGGCGGUGCCCUCGCUCUCGUGGCGAGGCCCGCCAGAGGACCCAAACAAACUCUUUGAUUUUGAUCUAGGAUUUUACUUCUGAGUGAUAUACAAAAUAAAUCA